CAAAAACUGAAGAGUCAGAGAAGGAAGCCAUUAGUGAAGGCCAGAGCCGGGCAAUUUGAUGUUCUUUCCAUAGCAAGAGAGCCCAGAAAUGGUCAUGAAAUCUACAUACCAAAGAGGGAAUCUUAAACGUGUUUCCUCAUGUUAUGUCUCCCAUUAGCAUGUAUAUAGAUGGGUGCACAGAAUAUGUGGCAGCUGAGUGCCCAGCCCUGCAAGAGCAUCUGUGUCAAGAGUGCAUUGCUCCAGGAGCUCUGGUCUGCAAAAGACAGUCCAGAGAAUGAGAAUGUGGGCACCAGGAGGAGGAAAGGGCCAGGGGGACCCAGCACCUGCAGGUAUUGUGCCUCAAUGCUAUAGACAUGUGCGUUCUCUAUAGGCAUCCCAAUAGCUGCCCGGUGCUUGUGGCGAAUACUGGGUCACAGCAUAAGUUUGAAGGCUUGCACAUAAGCUGGACUCACUGGGGAGUUUUUCUUUUCCCUUCAUGCCUACACAGUGAGAUAUCUGUGCCCAAAGUUCUGACUUCAUGGAUCUGAGUUCCUGGAUGCACUCAAUAGCACCGAAUAGACACAAAUACACAUUUAUACACUAUGUAAACAUUUAAAAUUAAGCUGGCAAAAUGUAGACCACUUGCCCAGCACUGGUGAAGUCCUGGGUUCCACCCCCAGCCAACACUACCAGGCUGCAAAGUCACCAGCAUAAAAGCAAAGAGAGUCUGAGUCUGAAGCUCCCAUUGUUCAGGGAGCACCUGCUACUUGCUACAUUGUGUUUCUUUUCCUGACUUACCUCCCCAUUUCCAUUAUCUGAGGCACCAUGCUACACUGCCUAGUCUAAGCCUGCAAUUCUGGGCCCAAAUCAUCCUCCUGCCUUAGGCUCUAGUGUACUGAAAUGACAUGAAGGUCAACCCACACCUUUAGAGAGCAGGGAAAGAAACAAAAAAUGAGAUAAAAUAGGGGAGCUGCCUGUUCCGUUGGGAGUUAGAAGGCACACAGUAAAGAGUCACCGUCUCCUCUCCCUGGCUGCCCUCCCUGCACCUUCACCAGAUGCAAGCUGGGGUGACUGGGCCACACCAGCAGCUUCACAGUGGGUCAAAAGUGCAUCUCUGCAGAGACAGAGAAGGGAACAGACACGCAGGCGCUGGUCCUCUCUCCUCCCCAGGAAACAGCUGAGAUCAUUUUCUCACAAGGACCCUCAGGUCAAACCCUUCUUGUUCUCCAGCGGGCUUUCAGAGCCAUGAGUCACAAGGAAAUGCCAGUGCAGGGCCCUGUGUGCUUUAACCACAGAGGAGCUGCCACUCAGGCAGGGCUGGGAGCCACAGCACAGGACAGGGACCAGAGACGCCUGGACUAAGCUGUGUGCGCAGUGUAAAGCUCCACAGCAUCGUCUCCAUCUGCUGAGGGCCAGGCUGAGAGAACUCUGUGUGCAGUGAGUAGGGAGUCAGCCCAUCUUCUUUCUACACAGUGAGCACAGGACACGUGCAUGGUGGGGUCCAUGUGGAAAACUUGGUUCUAAGUCCAUCCUAUAUAGUGACUUGUCUUUUAGAGAGAGGGUCUCAUGUAGUCCAGGCUGGCCUUGAACUUGCUGUCAUGAAGGAUGGCUUCCAGUUCUUCUGCUUCCAACUCCCAAGUUGGGAAUCACACUGAUGGAGCCCAGGCAGGGUCCUAUGCAGUGGCUCCCGUUCCCACAGCAGCCCCACGAGGGUCUCCUCUAGCUACUGCCAUCCCACAGAGGAGGAAGCAGACAUGAGAAGCUGUCUCUCCCAGCCACAGAGACUAAGAUGGAGCUGACCCAUCUCCUUGUCUGGCACAGCCCCAUGAGGUAAAUUGACUCUCUGGUAGCAAAGACGGUUUCUAAAGCAGAUAAUGUAGGGGCUCUGCUAUUGUCCAGACAGAUGGACAGGGCCAGACAGAAGCUGGCCAGAGCACCUGUGCAGAAAGCUCUCAGAGCUGGGAGAGCCAUGGCUGAGGGUGUGAAUGCUCAGGUGACUUCCAGAGGUGCACUGGAAGGUGCAUAGACAGGGUGAGGGGACCGAGACUGCAGUCCUGAGAUCUGCAGCAGAUCUGAGAGGGAAGACUGCAAGACAGGCAGGGCUUUGGGGAGGCUCAGAAGGCAAUGGAGGGCUGAGGAGAAGGCAAUGUGAGGCUGAGGAGAAGGCUCAGUCAGUAAAGUGCUCAACUUCAGGAGCCUGAAGACUUGAGUCUGGAUCUCUGAAUUCCACGGAGAAGCCAGGCACCGUGUCUAACCUGGCCCAUAUGGCAAAGUUUCUAGCCAUUGAGAGACCUUGUCUCAGAAAUUGGAAGGUGCCUGAAAAACAUCAUCCAAGUUUAUCCUCUGACCUCCAGGGCUCUCUCUACUGGGUGUGGUACAGGCACAGAGGUAGGGAUGGUCUUGGGCCUGAUUGGUCAAGAAGUGUAGCACAGAACUAGAGUAUGGAGUAAUUGGGAGUGGGGCAGGACACGGGCGUGGGGACACUUUCUUCAGAUCUGCCAGCUGCCCUCAUCGGGAGUUCCCCAUCAGCGUGAACUCUCUAGUAGCUAGCGCAGGAGUGGAGUUGCAGAGCUGAAGAUGGCAAGUCAUAAGGAGAAAGCGAGUGGGAAGAUGCCCGUGAGAGAGCACUGCAUGCUGUUCUCAGGCUGCUUCCACCCGCCAUGGGUUACCACAGAAAAAUUCCAGACCCUGUGUGAGAUGACCCCAGUGUUCUUUUAGUCAGGGAGGCCCGAGGCUUCCAAAAUGAUACAGGCUAGUACUCUUUUUAUUGGUUACCCACCAGAAAUAGAUAAGACCCUACUGUCGAGGACACCACAGCUUGGUCUUGGCACAUAGAGAAAUCAGCUAAAACUGACUGGUGCACUCCCUCCCUACUGCCCAGCUCUCUCUGUGCAGGAUGGCGGUAAGCACACUGCCGGGAGAAGACAGUCAUCAGCGCUCUGCGGCAGUCCAUUCUGUAUGCUGCAAUGCCCACCUGCUGGAGACGGUAUGCCCAUGAAUGCAAUCAUGGCCUGAGAGCUAGGACGGUAACCAAGCACUGUCUGGAUGAGUUUUGGAAAUUUCACAGGACGGAAUCCAUGCCUGGUGCUGUAAACCUGGUCCUAAGCUCAUACGCUGGGACAUAAAGGCCCAGGGGGAAACUCGAUACUGUCAUUUUUCUAAAUGCACGUGUUGUCAAAAUGCCCCCUACACGUUUAUGUUCAUGUCCAUAGAUUAGUGCUGCUCCCCGCCAAACAAUCUAUAGCUCCUUGCAUGCUGGAAUGCAUGGAGGCUGGGGAGGAGUGCUGUGACAACGUCUCUUCUGGACAGCAGGAGGCCAUUGCACUCAUGAAGCUCAGACACUGUGGUUACUUCCACUAAAGCUCCACAAGGUGGAGCCCUUCGGCAUUUUAGCACGC
rnacentral:lncRNA from 1 species